GCCUGGGUGGCUCAGUUGGUUAAGCAUCUGACUUGGGCUCAGGUCAUGAUCUCAUCUUUGUGGGUUUGAGCCCCAUUUCGGGCU
rnacentral:tRNA from 1 species